GACGAACGCUGGCGGCGUGCUUAACACAUGCAAGUCGAACGAUGAAGCCUAGCUUGCUAGGUGGAUUAGUGGCGAACGGGUGAGUAAUACGUGAGUAACCUACCUUUAACUCUGGGAUAAGCCCGGGAAACUGGGCCUAAUACCGGAUACGACCAAUCUCCGCAUGGGGUGUUGGUGGAAAGCGUUAUGUAGUGGUUAUAGAUGGGCUCACGGCCUAUCAGCUUGUUGGUGAGGUAACGGCUCACCAAGGCGACGACGGGUAGCCGGCCUGAGAGGGUGACCGGCCACACUGGGACUGAGACACGGCCCAGACUCCUACGGGAGGCAGCAGUGGGGAAUAUUGCACAAUGGGCGCAAGCCUGAUGCAGCGACGCCGCGUGAGGGAUGACGGCCUUCGGGUUGUAAACCUCUGUUAGCAGGGAAGAAGAGAGAUUGACGGUACCUGCAGAGAAAGCGCCGGCUAACUACGUG
rnacentral:rRNA from 1 species